CAGGGGCGGGCGCGGGGGCGGCGGCUGGGUGAGGACGCAGGCCUGAGUCAGAGCUGCGGCCCGCGAAGGGAGCGCGGCCUGAGGGCAGCGGCGGGCACUUGGGGGCCGCCCCGCCCCGGGCAGCGCCCGCCGGCUCUCGGCUCAGUCCGGCUCAUUCCUCCCGGCCGCCGCCUCGUGCUCCGGAGCUGGGGACCCGGGGGCGGGCAGGAGAGGCCUCGCUCGCCCAGGACCUGCUCGGGGACCCCGCCCGCCUUGGUGAUCGAUCGUCGAGUCCCUAUCACAGGCCUCCUUGGGGUGAGGAAACAGCUGGGGACUAAGGAAAACUCGAGAUCCCAGCAGGGCAGAUUGGCCCUCCACCCCAGGUCCCUGCCUGCAGCCUGAGCCUGGAUUCCAUUUCCAGGCCGACUGGCGACUUGGAAUCAGCUGCGUCCAGUUGGAGCUGAGCUGGUUGGGGCCGGAUGGGACCACCGAUUCCCGAGCCGGGCCUGCGCGAGGGCCCGCCCAGCGCCCUCUAGACCGUGCAGGGGCCUGUAGCCCAGCUACGCCUGCGCAGAAGGAGUCCCGCACCUUUCUCCAAUCAUCAGUCACCUUUCCCCGCGCUCCCCACGCCUCAGGUGGCCCUGCUUCUUUAUUCGUUAUCGCGUAAAUACCCCGAGCCCCUUCCGUUCCCUUCCGGGACGCAGAGCUGAGAUCUGCCCUCCCAUCUCCUGGCUUGGCCGCCUCGCCAACAGACCCGGGCGUCUCGGCGUUUGGCAUGUUGUGCAUCAGCCAAGAGGAACCUGGUUGGGUACCAACUGCACGGGGACACUGCGCUCGGGGCCGCUGACUCUGCGCCACCUGAACCAGUUUGUGGUUUCGGAAACAUCAGCAGGCAUGUGACAACCAGAAUUUCAGAUAAAUUGCUCUUGCAAAAGUCUGGAGGACACUGGGAAAGGGAAGAGACCGGAGGCCCAGAGGCAACUAGAAGCCUGUUCAGAUCUCCGGGAGGGACAGGAAUCCGCCAGCGGUGACGGUGACGGUGACGGGGAUGGAGCAGCGUGAACGUCUGCGCAGCCGAGUGAACGAAGCAGGUGUAAGGAGGAGGGUCGUAUUCUGAAUACUUUGCGAUCAAGAUUUUGUUCCAACUUACGAAACUCUUCUGUACUUCUGGGAUUUUACAGAUUCUAAAUUAUUUCAUAUCAACACUCAUUCCACCUGUUGUACGUGAGGAGAAAAGACAGCAGCUGGAAAACAAGGGCGUCUGUGAAGGGAGCGGGGGCCACUCCAUCCGGCAGCUGACACAGCCAGACCCGUGCGCCGGGCUCCAGUCACCAGCGCAGCUGUGGUAAACAGCAGGACCCUGCAGGUGCCGAAGACCUCCAGAAACACCGUGCGCGAGGAGGACCGCCCGUGCAGUGGGGACGGGGGCCCGGCUCUCCGGAGGCCCUCGCUGUUGCCCACAGCUGUAGCAGCUGUCACGUCCGGGGGCCUCAUCUCACUUCCCUUCCAAGCGUACCUUGAAGAGCGGAGACACGCGUGCCCUCCUCAAGGACUCCUCCAGACUGAAGGAGAAAAGCACCUCGGCCUCAGCGUCCCGGAGAAGGUAGUUCUGCUCAUCUGGAAAAGAGAACAGCCCACUGUGCCAACAGUGCACGGCGCCCGGGACGCACAGUGCCACCCGCUCCAGGCCGCCCCCAGGCAGGGAUCUAGUUCCCCGACCAGAGAUCGCACCUGGGCCCCCUGCAUUGGGAGCACGGAGUCUUAACCACUGGACCACCAGGGAAGUCCCUGAAGUGAUGUAUCUGAAAUGACACAGGAAGCCGGGCUUCUCACUGUUGCUGGAGAAAGGAUUACAGACAAAGGACGGGAGGAAACAAGGACGAAGCCUGUGGUGGCAGAUAGACUGGCAUCGGCCAGACAGACACAGGAAGUGGAAAGAGGCUGCAGCAGGAGCAACACCCAAGGGCCACGAGCACCGUCCGUCCGUGCCCAGUUUACACUGAAAGGACUCGGGGAUCCUUGGGAAAACGCUGGUGCGGAACCAGGGCAGAAGAGCAUUAAGACUCUUCAAAGAAAUGCAACGUGCUGGCUCAAAAGCAUGUCUCCGGACCCUCCUCCCUCCAGGGGCCAGGGCUGGACUCGGCCUGGAGCGUGGGCCAGACCAACAGAGCGCGGCGGGCGACGGCACGCGGCCUCAGCAAAGCCACGGGGGAGGCGGCGCCACGCUGAGCAGACGCGCUCCCUGGAGAGGCCCGGGGCGGGGGCGUGGGCCCCCCAAGAGCCAUGGGGGCGGCAUUCUAAGCGGUUCCUGCAGCCCAGCAGAGCCCUCAGAUGUAGCCUCCUGGGGGCCAGGGCUCUAGCCACCUGCUAAGCCGCUUCAGGACUUCCAGCCCACACAGGAACCACGGGGUAGUAAGCGUCCGUUGUUUCAAGUCACUGAGUCUCGGGGGAGUCGUCACACAGCAACAGAAGACGAACGCAGUGUCACCUCUGCUUAACACGGUCCAGCCCCUCCAGUGACCUGUCUGUCUCCUCCACCCCGUGCCGUCCCUCCCGGAGGCCGCCCCCCGCUCCGGGGUUGGCCGGUCCCUCUCCACCCGCUCUCACGCCUGUCUGGACGGCCCUGCACCCUCACCCUCGGAAUCCCUUCCCAGCUCUGGGUCACACCCCACCCUUGGCCACACCCUCCUCUCGGCUGGCACAGCACGUUUGUAAGAAUGGCACACGGCAGGCACAGUUUUUGACUGGGGGAGUCCGAAAAUAUCUUCAUCCCACAGUCCCAUCUGACUGACGGACUGGAUAUGGCAUCCCAGGCUGGGAAUCUCGGGCUGCCUUUGAAAGCCAGACACCCGCCCAGGUCCCGCUGGUAGCCUCCUCAGCCCUGAGCCCGGGCGGCCCUCACACACUGCGCUUCCACGGCGGCCCCAACAGCGCCCUCUUCUCUCCUUUCAAUCUGCAGAAACGCCCUUCAGUUGUAAGCGACCUUCUUUCAACUUUCUUGCCUUCAUUUCCUCUGUUCCCAAACUUCUAGGAUUUAAUUUUGGACCUCUCGGACUAGCCCUUUAACUGACAAACAAAAACAAAACCCCCCAAAACCAAAAGCAAACCUCUUCUUAUCUCUGAAUUUUAUUCCACUUUUUUUUUCGGGAUAGUUUCUAAAUAUCAUUACCCCCUACACUUCCAUAGUUAAAAAAAAAAAAAAACGUCCACCGUUGUAACUCAGACAGGCGUCUCCUCCCCUGCCCCUGGCGACUGCCCUCCUUCGCGUGCUCAGCGCUUCCCAACCAAGCCCCAGCCCAGCCACCUCCCCGGCCUCCCGUGCCCAACAUCUCACGGCCACACGCGCACCUGCCCACGCUCCACACGCUCUCAAGACGAUGGGGAGCAAACUCCGGUUCCUACAACGUGCCAGGCCACUGUGCAAACUAAUAAAUCAAUCAACGGACUCAGUUCCACACCUGGACUAGAAGACUCUGAGGUCCCUUCCAACCACUCGCCUUUGGAGAACAGAGAUGACACAGGUGGCCAGCAGCUGUUUGUCAGACAUCUGCUCUGGAUAAUCCGCAACUGCGAACACACAUCCCAAGUUCACUAUGAACGUGUGAAGCGAGUCACGCCUGACCAUCACGUAUCCAGCAGUACGGUGAGGACCUCGGGCACACUGCUGCAAACAUAGCUGCUCGCCUGUCUACGUCAAGUGACCGAGAACAUGAAACCAACGGCUCCUGCCUGGGCACUGAGCAUCCCGAGCUGGUCCCUGCGGCGGCCUGAUGUUCUAUGGACGCCAGUGUUCACCUCAGGGUAUGGCGUCCCAAAGUACCAAAGAAAUCUAACUGUUCCGUCCUCGUAACUACACCCUCUGUUAGGUAACGAGACCCCCAUUCCCCGUUUUCUAAGCGUUAUUUUGGCACGAAUCCUUACCCUACCCGCAAACACUCUCCAAGUAAGCACGAGACUUUUGGGAGAAGAAAAGGAAGAAAGCACAUUACUAACUCUCUACUGCUGGGUCGUGUCCGAACAGCUGGCGCGGCGGCUGGCACGGCAGGGCCUGGGGCGCCUGCGUUUGCAUCUGCUGCUGGUGCAGGCGCUGGAGCUGCUGCAAGUGCGCGAGCUGGUGCUGCAGCGCCUGCUGCUGCGGGGGGAACUGGGGCCGGUGGGCCGGCGGGUAAGGCUGCUGCUGGAGCUGCAGGGCCUGCUGGGGCGGCAGGUGCGGGACGGGCGGCGGCGGCGACAGACGCGGCUCCGGGGUCCCUUUCGCCUGGCUGAGCAGCGCUGCGUUCGCGUGGCCCUGCUGGCCGCGGUUCACCUGCGGCUCUGAGGUCUUCGUCGGAGCUGCGAGGGACUGUAAGAUCUGGAAACAGAGAUCAGGCGAGGCGGUCAGCAGCAGCUGCCGGCGGGCGCUCCCCGCCCUCGUCAGGAGGGCAACGGCACGCCCUACACGCCGUCAGCCAGACGUUCGCUAACCGCACGGUGCAAACACAACCGCCGGCGUCUCCUGUGCACUAAGCAUCGCCAGUCUCAGUGAAGCAGAUAAAUUCAUAUUGUGAGACAUCUUCACCAAAAUGUGAAACUAACCUAAGUGAAAUGGAAUAAGCUGAUGAGUGAAAGUUGACCGACACAAGCUCAAGUGGCUGACGUGCUCCAGAGCAGAGGGACGGGUGUCCGGCCACACUGACCUCGCCGGCCCCGGGGCGCGGCCUUGUCCCUCCGGGGCCCCCUCCUGCCCGGCCACGAAGGCACCGGCAGCCGGAGAGCCGGACCCAAGCCUCCUUCCCACAGCUGCUGCUUCCCAACGGAGCAAGGGGUCCGGCAGAGGCGGACGCAAAGAGCCCAGCCGAGUGAAGGCACGGGACACAAGCGGCCCUGGAGAGCAGCCGCCGGCCCCUCCCGUCUGCGGUCGUCCUGCUCUGCCACAAGGACGAGGGGCGGAAGAGACACCAGCACCAGGCUUGCUCGCGUGGUCGACCUUCCCCCAGCCGAGAGCCCCUCAGCACAGCUGGUGCACUCGCCUUCCUCAGAGGUGAUGGGAGCUCCGCACGUGGGACAGAACACCUCAAGCUAGAGAACCGCCGCCAGCCAGCCGAGGUUGAGUGAACCCUCCUUCCCAGGGACAGGAGUCGGCCGAGAGCUGAACAAGCUGCAGGGCGGGAGGGGGCAGGACGGGGAAGCAGGAGACACCAGCUCACUGAGCGUCAGAUCGCCUGUCAUUUUACUACCCUGCGCAGCGCUGGAUGUAACAAAAGAAACGUGUCAUAUGAUGAAUCUUCCCAACAUGCUCAAGUAACAAAAAUUGGAAGCCAACUUCCUAUGGUCAAGGAAACCAGUAACAAACAGAUUUUACCAAAAGUCAAUCGAUACAAUUUAUCCCUAUUAAAACAUCCUUGUCAUUUAAAUAAAACUCCAGAAAUGCAACCUUCACAUAAACCAAAAACCUAUACAAAAAUCUCAAAUAUGUUUUUGACAUGUGUCUGGCACUUAAAACAGACUCCAAAACAUAAAGGUUAUAUAAUUUGCAAGAGUAACAGACUUUGGAUUUAGUGGUGAAACAAAUUAAAAUUGAAAUAAGUUAAACUCAAGGGUUUGAGUACAUCUGUCUUUGAAAUCACCCUAUAGCUAAGACAUCUCUAUAAGGAGACUCUUUGGGUACUUCAAAAACUCCUCAAGUUGAGCUCUGAGCAGGAAAAAAAGUUUUCAAUACGUUUGUAAUUAACAGGAUAACUAAUUCUUCUCUAUGCAAGUAUUAAAAAAUACCCAGGAAAGUGGAGGGAGAAAUGAACCCCACCACAUCCCUGCCCAAGUAUACGGAACAGCAUUUGGGAUGAACAUUUCCAUAAAAAAGCAGGCGGGAGUGGGGAGGGGAC